rnacentral:rRNA from 1 species
GACGAACGCUGGCGGCGUGCUUAACACAUGCCAGUAGAACGCUGAAGGCAGGAUCUUGCUCUUUCUGGAUGAGUUGCGAACGGGUGAGUAACGCGUAGGUAACCUGCCUGGUAGCGGGGGAUAACUAAUGGAAACGAUAGCUAAUACUGCAUAAAACUGAUUAUUGCAUGAUAGUCAAUUAAAAGGUGCAACUGCACCACUACCAGAUGGUCCUGCGUUGUAUUAGCUAGUUGGUGGGGUAACGGCGCACCAAGGCGGCGAUACAUAGCCGACCUGAGAGGGUGGGCGGCCGCACUGGGAGGGGGACACGGCCCAGAGUGCUUCGGGAGGCAGCAGUAGGGAAUCGGCGGCAAUGGGCGGAAGUCUGACCGAGCAGCGCCGCGUGAGUGAAGAAGGUUGUCGGAUCGGAGAGCUCUGUUGUAAGGGAAGAACGAGUGUGAGAGUGGAAAGUACACACUGUGACGGUAUCUUACCAAAAAGGGACGGCUAACUACGUG